rnacentral:rRNA from 1 species
UACGGAAGGCAGCAGUGGGGAAUAUUGCACAAUGGGCGAAAGCCUGAUGCAGCUAUGCCGCGUGUAUGAAGAAGGCCUUAGGGUUGUAAAGUACUUUCAUCGGGGAGGAAAAACAAAACUAAUAAUUUUAUUUCUUGACGUUACCCGAAAAAGAAGCACCGGCUAACUCCGUGCCAGCAGCCGCGGUAAUACGGAGGGUGCUAGCGUUAAUCAGAAUUACUGGGCGUAAAGAGCACGUAGGUGGUUUUUUUAAGUCAGAUGUGAAAUCCCUGGGCUUAACCUGGAACUGCAUUUUGAAACUGAAAUACUAGAGUAUCGUAGAGGGAGGUAGAAUUCUAGGCGUAGCGGUGAAAUGCGUAGAUAUCUGGAGGAAUACCUGUGGCGAAAGCGGCCUCCUAAACGAAUACUGACACUGAGGUGCGAAAGCGUGGGGAGCAAACAGGGAUUAGAUACC